rnacentral:rRNA from 1 species
CCCCCCGUGAGAAUGCCCCAAUAAAUCCCUUUCAAAGGGAAAGAGGAGCCGGUAUCAGGCACACCACACUUAGCCCACGACGCCUUGCACAGCCACACCCCCAUGGGUCUUCAGCAGUGAUAAACAUUAAGCAAUAAGUGAAAACUUGACUCAGUUACCCGCUAAGAGGGCAGGUAAAGCUCGUGCCAGCCACCGCGGUUAGACGAGCAGGCCCAAGUUGUUAAUUACCGGCGUAAAGGGUGGUUAAAAUUAAAAAUUACUAAAGCCGAAGGCCUAUCAGAGCCGUUAUACGCUUCCGAAGGUAUGAAGCUCAACCACGAAAGUGGCUUUAUUACAUUUGACCCCACGAAAGCUAGGGCACAAACUGGGAUUAGAUACCCCACUAUGCCUAGCCAUAAACAACGGCAGCCAAUAACCUAUACUG